GAAACGGGAUGUUGACAUGAUGUGUAAUUUACAGCUUCCUUCGAUGAAAACGUUAAAAAAAUUGGAGUACAUUGUUAUGAUGACCAGACUCGAAGGCAUUCAUGUAAUUGGGUGAAUCACAGAGUCUCAGGAAUCUUCUGGACUAACCAAAAGUGAUGGCUGAAACAAAUAUUCACUGGUAGUCUACUUAGUGAUCUGGACACUGGAUGAGGCAGA